rnacentral:rRNA from 1 species
UACGUAGGGGGCAAGCGUUGUCCGGAAUCAUUGGGCGUAAAGCGCGCGUAGGCGGCCCGGUAAGUCCGCUGUAAAAGUCAAAGGCUCAACCUUUGAAUGCCGGUGGAUACUGUCGGGCUAGAGUCCGGAAGAGGCGAGUGGAAUUCCUGGUGUAGCGGUGGAAUGCGCAGAUAUCAGGAGGAACACCAAUAGCGAAGGCAGCUCGCUGGGACGGUACUGACGCUGAGAAGCGAAAGCAUGGGGAGCGAACAGG